UUCCAUUGCAACUUUCUCCAUUGGGCUAACGGUAGCUUCUCACUUUCUUAUUGAUGAUCUUUGUCCUUCCUUUCUUUCUGUCAAGACCACAAUUCCUCUUGAUUUCCGCAGAUCUUAGUCUAAUUUUGUAAGCAUCCGGUGAGAAUAUGUCAAUAAAUGCUUGUAUUUGAACGCACAACGGUGGGAGAAAAAGGGGUACACAUAUGGAGAAGAAGCGAAAGGUAAUUGUUAGUGUUACACUCCCUUGAAUUUUACUCGUAGGCUACAUUUUUUUCUCCGUAUUCUUCUAUUUGUCAACUAUCAAAGAGGUAGUAAUCUAGCGUGAUAGACAUUGGUGUUUGUCCGGUAAGAUUGGACAACAGGUGUAGACAGCGAAAAUUAACUUCAACAAGUUUUUUAAGGAAGCUAUUUUACACUAUAUAAGGCGUAAAAUGUUUUAUACAAGAAAAUAUUUUCAUGUACCAUAAUACAAUCAAAUGCAGGAAUUCAAGGAAAAUAUUUUCGGGAAAAGGUUUUCAGUCAAAACAAACAUACCCUUAGAAAGUCAAACAGACAAUUACAUUGCUUAAUUGAAGCCAAGAAGACCACGAAAAUUGCAAUGGCAAGAAUGUACCUACAAUAAAAGAGAGGGGAGGGGGGACCCAUGACUUUCUGUUUAUUUAUGAUCAGCUGAAGAAACCAUUGCGAUUUCCUUCUCAUUGGCUUCCAUCUCAUCUCUAAACUUCAUGUAUAUAUUUGACUUGUAAUAUUCCCGAGUCCUCAUUACCAAGAUUAAAGAAAUAAGAGCUCCAAGAGUGUUAACGCCGGCUAAUAUUAGAAAAGAUGUCCUGUAACAUUGAGUCCCAAUGCAAGUCAAGUCAGGAACCAUUGAUCUUGUCAGCCCCGCCCUUGCAAGUUGCUUUAAAGCCUCUUUAUCAUAGAGUUUUCCCACAAUCCUCACAUUGAGGAAGUAUGAUCCAAUAGGGCUGGCCAAUUGUCCACAAUUCAAGAGAGUGGAGUAGUACUUCAAUCCAAAAAGUUCAGAUAUAAUCACGAAAACCAUGGUUAACUGGACGCCAUAAGCAAAUCCAACCAAUACUGAUGCAAUGUAAACAGAACCAGGAAAUGGCAAGGCAAUAAUGAGAUCUCCAAUGGCAGGCACCACAAGGGAUAUCGUCAUCAUUAGAGUCCGCGGAACUUUCCACUUCCUCAACAGUUGCUCAGAGCCAAAACCCGAAAGAGCUCUGCCAAAAUAGUUCCAGAUGCUAAGUAGGGAGACAAAUGUGUUAACUGUCUUAGUUGGAUAGCCUAAGGAUUCACCAAUCUGGCCUAAAUUAUCCACUGCUGCUUGACUGCAACCAAGCCCACAAAAUGUGACAAUGAAAAGAAUUAUCAUGUCAGCACUUAAUAAAGCUUGACAUAUGGUAUAAUCUUCACCCCUUUUGGGUUUGUUGCAGAUGUCUCCACAGCAACAACCUUCUUGACGGAACUCAUCAUCCCCUCCUCCUUUAUCUAUGGUACAAUGUGCAGGGACAAUUUCCUGCUUUCUGGGGUUCGAAGACUCGGGCAAAGGUGGUUCCUCGGUAACUACCUGUUAGGGGGUUUUAAUGCAUCUUCCUUCUUUUGCUGCCAAGUCUCUAAUUCUUCUUUCACUGCAACCAGGAAUGGAAGGAAAAGCAGAACACAAACACCUGUUGCACUUGCUACAUAAUCAGCGUGAGAGAAAUUGAAAUAGUUUUGAGCGAUUGUCAGAGCCAUCAGGGUCAGUGCCAAACCCACUGUUAUGAUGAGAUUUUGAUACAUAACCUUCACCUCGUGGGGAUGACCACUAAUCUUCUUCAUUUCCUUGAUGCAGAAGAGGAAAACUAAAGAAAUCACUGCUGGAAGCCAACCAAUAAGAAGGAUCAUAUCUUUGGCAUCA
rnacentral:lncRNA from 1 species